GACGAACGCUGGCGGCGUGCCUAAUACAUGCAAGUCGAACGCUGAAGGAGGAGCUUGCUCUUCUGGAUGAGUUGCGAACGGGUGAGUAACGCGUAGGUAACCUGCCUGGUAGCGGGGGAUAACUAUUGGAAACGAUAGCUAAUACCGCAUAAUAGUAGAUGUUGCAUGAUAUUUACUUAAAAGGUGCAAUUGCACCACUACCAGAUGGACCUGCGUUGUAUUAGCUAGUUGGUGGGGUAACGGCUCACCAAGGCGACGAUACAUAGCCGACCUGAGAGGGUGAUCGGCCACACUGGGACUGAGACACGGCCCAGACUCCUACGGGAGGCAGCAGUAGGGAAUCUUCGGCAAUGGACGAAAGUCUGACCGAGCAACGCCGCGUGAGUGAAGAAGGGUUUCGGAUCGUAAAGCUCUGUUGUAAGAGAAGAACGAGUGUGAGAGUGGAAAGUUCACACUGUGACGGUAUCUUACCAGAAAGGGACGGCUAACUACGUG
rnacentral:rRNA from 1 species